GCAACCCCAAAUAUUUAAUAGGAUCCACCAAUGAGAACAAGUUCGGUAAUCACAUUACCAUCCUAUGCACGCACAUUGUGAAAAUGAUCUUGAAAUAGUAUACUUCAAAACACUGAACUAGCAACUUCCAAUGCAAUUUCAUUAUUUCCUGGUUACCAAGAAAACGCAACCAGGAAGAAAUGGCAGAAAGAAUCAUCACCAGUUCCACGAACCCAAGUAAAACAGAAAAAUAAACGUCAAAAAAAACCUCGCCCAUAACUUGUCCAUUCAUUAACAAUGAACCGAAUAAACAGGAAAAUAAAAAUGUGCUAUAAACUGAUCGUGCUAAGUUUUAGCUAGACAUCCAAACUUCAUUUCCCCUACAUUUCACACACUUACUCGCCAACCAAACAAAAAACCCAAACUACACCUAUAAUUAACAGCAACGGAUUCCAAAAACCCACGUAAUAGUCGUAAAAUCAAGAUCAAUAUGAAACUAAAAAAAGACCCCCAAUCACGAGAUUAACCAACAAUACCAGAUAGAAAAAACGAAAGCUCUCCAUACCUAAUGAUGAUCGCAGCUGUGUCUUCGUCAAAACCGGAAAUGAGAUUUUCCGGCGAGAGAAGAGAAAGAGGACAUUUGAGAGAUACAACGCAGAGAGGAGGACUGAGACAGAGCCAGACUAGCUAGUAGUCUAAACUCUAAAACCGCGUUCUGCUUUUUCCCUCUUUCUCCAUUGGAGGAAUUAAAGCUUUCUGAAAGAACUCUUGAUUGGUAGUUUGAAUUGACAACCAUAAAGCAAAAGCCUUUUACUUCACAUGUAGAGUUUCAGUUUUUAUUUUUAACAAAUUUUAUUAUUCUGGAAAAAAAAAAUUAUUUUGUAAAAAAUUACAAUAAAAG
rnacentral:lncRNA from 1 species